rnacentral:rRNA from 1 species
UACGCAGGGUGCAAGCGUUAAUCGGAAUUACUGGGCGUAAAGCGUGCGCAGGCGGUUGUGUAAGUCAGAUGUGAAAUCCCCGGGCUCAACCUGGGAAUUGCAUUUGAGACUGCACGGCUAGAGUGUGUCAGAGGGGGGUAGAAUUCCACGUGUAGCAGUGAAAUGCGUAGAUAUGUGGAGGAAUACCGAUGGCGAAGGCAGCCCCCUGGGAUAACACUGACGCUCAUGCACGAAAGCGUGGGGAGCAAACAGG